rnacentral:rRNA from 1 species
UACAGAGGAGCCAAGCGUUGUCCGGAUUGACUGGGCGUAAAGCGCACGCAGGCGGGGGUGCGCGUGGGGUGUGAAAUCUGGCCGCUUAACGGCCAGGCGCCAUCCCAUACGGCACGCCUGGAGCCUUGCAGAGGUCGGUGGAAUUGCCGGUGUAGAGGUGAAAUUCGUAGAUAUUGGGAAGAACACCGGUGGCGAAGGCGGCGACCUGGUCCGAUACUGACGCUGAGGCGCGAAAGCGUGGGGAGCAAACAGG